GUUAAUCCCGCAACAACCUCACAACAUUUAUGGGAGUGUUUAUGCUGUUACAAUAACAACGAUAGAAAUUAAACAAGCAUUUCCAGAAAUUUGAUGUCAAAUGUACAUAGUUUCUAUCAAGUGAAGAGCUCUUAUCUGAUGUUGUUCGAGCUGGUAAACUGGAUCAGACAGAUACCGUAAGAGUAUAAAAGAGCGUACGAUUACUAGCGUAAGCCUGAUGUGAAUUAUGAGGCCGACGACAAAAGUGUGUAUCUACUGUCAAGAUAUAAACAUACUUAUGUACAGCCGUUGAAAAAUACUUAAUAGCUCCUGGUGACGCUCAAGCAUGUAUGUUCUGCAGCUUAUAUGUGUGCGUGUCGGGUGCUUGACGCUAAUAUCUAAAAUUUUUGAUUUUCAUCAUGCAAAAGCCGACAACAAGUAUGUGUGACACGAAGCAAGUACGAGUGUCACCCGACACGCACACAUAUAAGCCUGCUGGACAUGCAUGCUUGAGCGUCAUCAGGGGCUAUAAGAACGAUGCUUUGGCAACCAUAUAUGAGGGUGUUUUAUCGAGAACGGUGCCCUAACGGUUCUUUUUCGCUUGAAUAUAUUUUUUGCGAUCACAUCAAUUGAAACGCGUUCAUUUUUAUAUUUUUCUUGAGGGGUUCGUAUUAAUUUUUUGCGUUUUAGUAAGAACACUGACAUUUUUGUGAGAAAUAUACUUAAGAAUUAUUCGGCCUUCGUCCGAAAUGUUGAAAAUUGUUUUCUGUUUUAAUUUGUAACUGCAUUUUUAACGGCUGUAUAUAGCAAAUUCGCAUUGAAACCCAGGCGACCUUUCGAGUGUUCGAGAGAAAAACUAAAAGAACAUAACGAGACAGCAAGGCAGCCAUUUUUUGCUGAAAAAUUGCUCCAGGGACCAAUCCAAUUAGCCUAUAUUAGAAGCCAAGCCACUUUCUAGACAUAUGAGAAGUCAUUUCUGUGCUCGAAAUCCAUCCUUCACCCAUCGCAGCAAGAGAGAUCGGGUCUCCUCGUAACACUCUCGCAAACACAUUAAGAAUGACGCCGCAGUAGAUUCUAACAUACCAAACAUAUGAGAAGCACCGAUGGAUGAUACUGGCCACCUCUUAUACCAACUAAUAUUUGAUCCCAUUGAUGAUUCAAUGUUAAAAUAAAACCAUAUUAUUUUUCGUUUUACAUAAACUUUAAUGUGUAAUCAGUAUUAUAUCUAUGUCUGUAUGUAUGUAUUUAUAGUUAUACGUCAUUGCGUAUGUGUAGUAUAUAAUAUGCAUUUAUUUCUUUAAAUAUAUAUUUAAUUUUGUCAUUUUAAACUCUAA